GGUUAAGCGACUAAGCGUACACGGUGGAUGCCCUGGCAGUCAGAGGCGAUGAAGGACGUGCUAAUCUGCGAAAAGCGUCGGUAAGGUGAUAUGAACCGUUAUAACCGGCGAUGUCCGAAUGGGGAAACCCAGUGUGAUUCGUCACACUAUCGUUAACUGAAUACAUAGGUUAACGAGGCGAACCGGGGGAACUGAAACAUCUAAGUACCCCGAGGAAAAGAAAUCAACCGAGAUUCCCCCAGUAGCGGCGAGCGAACGGGGAGCAGCCCAGAGUCUGAAUCAGCUUGUGUGUUAGUGGAACGGUCUGGAAAGUCCGACGGUACAGGGUGAUAGUCCCGUACACCAAAAUGCACAGGUUGUGAACUCGAAGAGUAGGGCGGGACACGUGGUAUCCUGUCUGAAUAUGGGGGGACCAUCCUCCAAGGCUAAAUACUCCUGACUGACCGAUAGUGAACCAGUACCGUGAGGGAAAGGCGAAAAGAACCCCGGCGAGGGGAGUGAAAAAGAACCUGAAACCGUGUACGUACAAGCAGUGGGAGCACCUUCGGGUGUGACUGCGUACCUUUUGUAUAAUGGGUCAGCGACUUAUAUUCUGUAGCAAGGUUAACCGUAUAGGGGAGCCGCAGGGAAACCGAGUCUUAACUGGGCGUUAAGUUGCAGGGUAUAGACCCGAAACCCGGUGAUCUAGCCAUGGGCAGGUUGAAGGUUGGGUAACACUAACUGGAGGACCGAACCGACUAAUGUUGAAAAAUUAGCGGAUGACUUGUGGCUGGGGGUGAAAGGCCAAUCAAACCGGGAGAUAG
rnacentral:rRNA from 1 species